AAUGAACGUUGGCGGCGUGGAUUAGGCAUGCAAGUCGAGCGACGAGUCCGCUUUCGGGCGGGCGACGGAGCGGCGAAAGGGAGAGUAACGCGUAGAUACCUACCCUCGGAUCUGGGAUAGCGGCGGGAAACUGCCGGUAAUACCGGAUAAUGUCCCCGGACCAAAGGCUUCGGUUGUCCGAGGAGGGGUCUGCGUCCUAUUAGCUAGUUGGCGGGGUAAAAGCCCACCAAGGCAAAGAUGGGGUAGCGGGUGUGAGAGCAUGACCCGCCUCACUGGGACUGAGACACUGCCCAGACACCUACGGGUGGCAG
rnacentral:rRNA from 1 species